rnacentral:lncRNA from 1 species
CACAAGAUAAGAGCAUGGCGCAUGGAUUAGUUGGUUGCUCAUUCAAAUUCAAACUUUCUUUUGAAUUUGAAUCACCAACAAACUUAUUUUUAUUCAGAUAAUUGGUGCACAAGGGUGGGCAUGGGAUGCCUUCUACAUGGAAAAAAUUCAUGAGAAGUUGCUUCUCGUGAAUUCAAAUAUGCACAGAAGAAGUGAGGUGGC